rnacentral:rRNA from 1 species
UACGAAGGGGGCUAGCGUUGCUCGGAAUUACUGGGCGUAAAGGGCGCGUAGGCGGCGCUGCAAGUCAGGCGUGAAAUUCCUGGGCUUAACCUGGGGGCUGCGCUUGAGACUGUGGUGCUAGAGGACGGAAGAGGCUCGUGGAAUUCCCAGUGUAGAGGUGAAAUUCGUAGAUAUUCGGAGGAACACCAGUGGCGAAGGCGGCUCACUGGUCCAUUACUGACGCUGAGGUGCGAAAGCGUGGGGAGCAAACAGG